rnacentral:lncRNA from 1 species
CGUCUUCUUUGGAUAAAUUUUUCUGAAGGUGACCCCAAAGUCGUUUCUGUGCGGUUAAGCCUGUUGGCAUACUUUGAUGUUUUUUAUUGUUUUGAGGGGUAAGGGAAAAUUUACAAAUAUCUGAGGGGGUUUUGUGUCAGGCUGUCAGCACUUUGAUCUUUUUUUUUCUUGGGAGUUAAAAUUUUACUGACCUUAUCAAUAGGAGGGGGAUGUGGAUAUUAAAUAGAUAGCCCAAUGUAGAAAGGCAUUUUUCAUGCUCUAACUGCUGUGGGGAACUCGAAGGGCGUUUGGGUGCUCAGAAGCGGCGGCUACCAUGACUCCCCCCCCCCCCC